CGUAUCACUUAAAGCGAUUCAGCGGGUUACGAUUGACGGAGCGAAGCGACGUCAAAGCGUAUACAAAGUCGAGUCGGUUUAAGGAUACGUUCGUUGGGUAGGGGAGCGUUCUGUAAGCCUGUGAAGGUGGCCUGUGAGGGUUGCUGGAGGUAUCAGAAGUGCGAAUGCUGACAUAAGUAACGAUAAAGCGGGUGAAAAGCCCGCUCGCCGGAAGACCAAGGGUUCCUGUCCAACGUUAAUCGGGGCAGGGUGAGUCGACCCCUAAGGCGAGGCCGAAAGGCGUAGUCGAUGGGAAACGGGUUAAUAUUCCCGUACUUGGUGUUACUGCGAAGGGGGGACGGAGAAGGCUAUGUUGGCCGGGCGACGGUUGUCCCGGUUUAAGCGUGUAGGUGUGUGUUCCAGGUAAAUCCGGUUCACUUUAACACUGAGGCGUGAUGACGAGGCACUACGGUGCUGAAGUAACAAAUGCCCUGCUUCCAGGAAAAGCCUCUAAGCAUCAGGUAACAUCAAAUCGUACCCCAAACCGACACAGGUGGUCAGGUAGAGAAUACCAAGGCGCUUGAGAGAACUCGGGUGAAGGAACUAGGCAAAAUGGUGCCGUAACUUCGGGAGAAGGCACGCUGACACGUAGGUGAAGUGAUUUACUCAUGGAGCUGAAGUCAGUCGAAGAUACCAG
rnacentral:rRNA from 1 species